GCUGGCGGCAGGCCUAACACAUGCAAGUCGAACGGCAGCACAGUAAGAGCUUGCUCUUAUGGGUGGCGAGUGGCGGACGGGUGAGGAAUACAUCGGAAUCUACUCUUUCGUGGGGGAUAACGUAGGGAAACUUACGCUAAUACCGCAUACGACCUACGGGUGAAAGCGGAGGACCUUCGGGCUUCGCGCGAUUGAAUGAGCCGAUGUCGGAUUAGCUAGUUGGCGGGGUAAAGGCCCACCAAGGCGACGAUCCGUAGCUGGUCUGAGAGGAUGAUCARCCACACUGGAACUGAGACACGGUCCAGACUCCUACGGGAGGCAGCAGUGGGGAAUAUUGGACAAUGGGCGCAAGCCUGAUCCAGCCAUGCCGCGUGGGUGAAGAAGGCCUUCGGGUUGUAAAGCCCUUUUGUUGGGAAAGAAAAGCAGUCGGUUAAUACCCGAUUGUUCUGACGGUACCCAAAGAAUAAGCACCGGCUAACUUCGUGCCAGCAGCCGCGGUAAUACGAAGGGUGCAAGCGUUACUCGGAAUUACUGGGCGUAAAGCGUGCGUAGGUGGUGGUUUAAGUCUGUUGUGAAAGCCCUGGGCUCAACCUGGGAAUUGCAGUGGAUACUGGRUCACUAGAGUGUGGUAGAGGGUAGYGGAAUUCCCGGUGUAGCAGUGAAAUGCGUWGAGAUCGGGAGGAACAUCCGUGGCGAAGGCGGCUACCUGGACCAACACUGACACUGAGGCACGAAAGCGUGGGGAGCAAACAGGAUUAGAUACCCUGGUAGUCCACGCCCUAAACGAUGCGAACUGGAUGUUG
rnacentral:rRNA from 1 species